CGUUUAUGAAAUACCUGUUUAUCUAUGUCUGAUCUUAUGAGAUCUCAGAGGCUAAGCAAGGCCGGGCCUAGUGAGUACUUAGAUGAGAGGUUGCUGGGAAUACCAGGAGCCACAGUGG
rnacentral:rRNA from 1 species